CGCUCGAACCCUACCUGCCGGGCGGCGGCGGCGGCGGCGGUGGCUUGCGCGCCGGUGUCUUCUCCUAAACGAAGUUCAAAAAGAUCAAUGCUCUUCCUGUCCUAUUGCUCAAGACCACUUCCAAAGAGCAUGACAGGCAAAACUAUGGAUUGCACAAUUCUGAUACUUGCAGAGUUGGGAAGCGAAUUGUGCUGAGGGCAACGAUGACCACAUUCAGCCCGUUGAUUGUUGCACUUGCUACACAAAGCCAGAAA